rnacentral:rRNA from 1 species
GAAUUCCUACGGGACGCAGCAGUGAGGAAUAUUGGUCAAUGGGCGGAAGCCUGAACCAGCCAAGUCGCGUGAGGGAAUAAGGCCCUACGGGUCGUAAACCUCUUUUGCCGGGGAGCAAGGGCGGGGACGUGUCCCGGCCCGGAGAGUACCCGGAGAAAAAGCAUCGGCUAACUCCGUGCCAGCAGCCGCGGUAAUACGGAGGAUGCGAGCGUUAUCCGGAUUUAUUGGGUUUAAAGGGUGCGUAGGCGGGCUUUUAAGUCAGCGGUAUAAAUUCGGGGCCCAACCCCGUCCGGUCGUUGGAACUG